UUGGAAACUAAGUCACCAUCAUGACCAUCUAAUUUGAGAUUGGAUCUAGGGGAGUGGAAGAUGGCAUGGCACUAAAAGGCCACUGUCAUUGUAAUCAGGGAACUAAGGCACUUGGCAUAGUCAUGAUAGCUGCUAUUGUAAAAGUCUCACCCCAAUCUCACUGAUUAUGAUCCUUCGUAGACUGGGGGAAAAAUGCUUUGACGAGUCCUGGUCUGGUGGAGUCCAAGCCAAGAGAAAGGACCAAAUCAUUCUCUAAACUGUUGAAUGAAAUUUUACUUCAGCAGCUGAGAUUCACAGAUCCGCCAGAUUCUUCCCUCAAGUCCUGAACGACAGAAUCCUGAGCAAAGGUCGGUGGCAGGUUGAAGAAGAAUGAGAGGAGAAGUAAACAUUAAGAGAAAGAGAGAUUCUUUGGUUGUUGAACCUUGGAGCCACCGUGCAUUGCCAACAGUUGGUAGAAAGUUGUGAAGAGAAAAUUGAUGAACAAUUUAUUUUCUCAGGAAAGGGAAUUUUGAGCAUAAAGAAUGAAAAGAGAAGGGUAGAGAAUAGAGAUCUCAGUUAGCAGGAUGCGGUGGGUGAGUAGGUGGAAUAGUGAUGGAAGUUUCAAGUAUCGUCAAAGGUAGUAUGAGGUCUGGGAGUGCAUCAAGAACUGUGUGAUGCACAAGUAGUGAGUGGUUCCUAAGUCAACAGUAAAUAAAUAAUAAUUGUGCUUUGGCUGGUUGAACCCAUUGGCGUGUAAGAUGGAUGAUUUUUCACAAAAGCUAUGAUGACUUGUUCAACAUGUGAACAAGAUUUUUAUUGUAAGUGGAAUAUCCUAAUGGUAAAUGCCUGUAGAAAUAAUUCUCCAUUCAAGAAAGCAUGGUUGGCCUCUAGCCCUAAAAGGUGCCACUGUUUGGCCACUCCAACCGCUAACAAAACUUGAACAGAAGUGAGAUUUGCAACAGCUUAUAUAUCCAAUGACAUCCAAUUCAAUUUUUGUUGGGAUGAAGUGGUGCUAUGGACCAA
rnacentral:sRNA from 1 species